rnacentral:lncRNA from 1 species
AUAAUUUGAUAUGAAUUGAUUUGUUAACAGUUUUAGCUCGACCAAACUCUUGGUUUUCUCUCAUAUUUUUCCGCAUUCAACCGAUAUAUAAUUGGUAAUAUUAUAUUGUAAAUACUUUAUACUAUUUUAUUUUAUGGCACAAUAUAGUAUGUUACAAUAUAUUAUUUUUCUUCUCCUCUUCUUUGUUCUUCUACACCUAUUUUUUCAUAUUUUCGUUUUCCGUUCUCUCGUAUUCUCUUCCUUUAUUUAUUUUUUCUCACAUCUCACUCCUCUUUCUCCUCCUUAUUCUUCUUCGCUCCUAACCCCUCUCUCUUCUUCUUCUCCCCCCUCACACCUCUUCGCGACCUCACUCCUAACUCCUCACUC